GGCUUCGUGGUGAAAUUCAUAUUGAGUUGCAAGCUCAUUGAUGUGCGUUAAACACGCGCCGAAGUCU
rnacentral:tRNA from 1 species